rnacentral:rRNA from 1 species
AUGGCGCACCGCUCCUCCUCUUGCUCUUCCUUCGCCUUCUCUUUCUCCUUCUCCUUCUUCCUGGCGGCCGCCUGCUUGUACGUCAUGAGCGUGUCGUCGCCGAGGGCGGCCUCGACGUCGGCGUCGUGCACCGCGGCGCUCCCCAUGGCGCCGGCCGUGUCGUCGCAGGCUCCGCCGGAGGCCGCGACGGCUAGAGCGACGAUGAUCACCGCCAUGACGACCACCGCGGCGAUCUGGAGGUGGAGUGCGACAUCCGGGUCCAUGCUCCUUGCCUCCUUGGCCAGUGCCAAUGCCGGCGAACUACCGCUCCAGUCGAGCCUUUGUAUAGGAGCUCCGGUCCCAGAAUGUUUCCGCUGA